rnacentral:rRNA from 1 species
UACAGAGGUCUCAAGCGUUGUUCGGAUUCAUUGGGCGUAAAGGGCGCGUAGGCGGCGGGGUAAGUCUGGUGUGAAAUCUCGGAGCUCAACUCCGAAAUUGCACUGGAUACUGCUCUGCUAGAGGGCUGGAGAGGAGAUCGGAAUUCACGGUGUAGCAGUGAAAUGCGUAGAUAUCGUGAGGAACACCAGAGGCGAAGGCGGCUACCUGGACAAUUGCUGACGCUCAGGCACGAAAGCGUGGGGAGCAAAAGGG